GAGUUUGAUCGUGGCUCAGGACGAACGCUGGCGGCGUGCCUAAUACAUGCAAGUAGAACGCUGAGGUUUGGUGUUUACACUAGACUGAUGAGUUGCGAACGGGUGAGUAACGCGUAGGUAACCUGCCUCAUAGCGGGGGGAUAACUAUUGGAAACGAUAGCUAAUACCGCAUAAGAGUAAUUAACACAUGUUAGUUAUUUAAAAGGAGCAAUUGCUUCACUGUGAGAUGGACCCGCGUUGUAUUAGCUAGUUGGUGAGGUAAAGGCUCACCAAGGCGACGAUACGUAGCCGACCUGAGAGGGUGAUCGGCCACACUGGGACUGAGACACGGCCCAGACUCCUACGGGAGGCAGCAGUAGGGAAUCUUCGGCAAUGGACGGAAGUCUGACCGAGCAACGCCGCGUGAGUGAAGAAGGUUUUCGGAUCGUAAAGCUCUGUUGUUAGAGAAGAACGUUGGUAGGAGUGGAAAAUCUACCAAGUGACGGUAACUAACCAGAAAGGGACGGCUAACUACGUGCCAGCAGCCGCCG
rnacentral:rRNA from 1 species